GGUGUUCCAUAUUGGCUAAUUAAGAACUCUUGGGGUGAUAAUUGGGGUGAUAAUGGCUAUUUUAAGAUGGAAUUGGGGAAAAAUAUGUGUGGUGUUGCAACUUGCGCAUCAUACCCUGUUGUAGCUUAAUACAACUGUGAAGAAACGGGAGCUAUUUGAUGAGUAAUUUGUGGUAAUAAGAUUUGUGUUUCAGUAGCUCAUGAAGUUACGAAUCUGUCUCUGGGGUGAAAAGUCAUUGUGUGAAGAUGAUUGUGUUGGCUUCAUGUAUAAAAUAAGACCCUGGAUGCAAUC
rnacentral:misc_RNA from 1 species